UAUCCCGUACUUUUGUACAUUUGAUUUAUCGUAAGUUAAUCGACAUAAAUUCAUGGGCAAGAUCAAUUUUUUGUUUUUUUGGAUAUAAGUAUUUAUGCGACGCGUAGCAAGUGAUAACCAAGUGUUGUGGAGAUUAAAGGUUACUCCAAUUGAAGAAAAUAAAUUUCGUCGAGGUUCGACAUUUAUUUGAAUAAAAUACAGUCCAAGCUAUAAUAUCCUGUAUUUUGGACCCGGAAAUUAAACCGUCCAAUAUGAGAAUAUUCAAGCAUGAAAAAUCAAGAAUUCAGUGUAUACAAGGGAUGAAGUCCCGAAAUGAUUAAGAUGGAAAAGUGUGAUGACUGGAAAUAAUACUUUAUGUGUGACAAAUGAGGUUAUGAACUAGUGUUAUAUCACAUGAUCAUGGUAAUGGUUAUACGAAGUAUGUUAAAAAAAUAACUACUAUUUAAGUGAGUUGAGAUCAAGAAAUUAAUUAUGGUAUUAAUUAAGAUGAUAUGGACAAGUGUUAUGUUUUUUUUUCUCUUCACGUGGGAUCUGGUGGAGAAGUCAAUUAGUGACUAACCAUGCAUAUACCAGUGGUGAAAACUUUACAGCUUGCUACCUAAAAUAAUGAAGAGGCACGUGGACCCCAUGGUCCACUAAGUAACUAUAAUAUAUUUGUGACUAUUCCUAAAUAAAUCUUUAGGUGGCACCUUUAGAACUAAUCAAUUAAGUUAAAUAAUGCAAAGGAGGUGGCCCCCACUGUUCACUAAGAGAAAAAAACUGAUAUAUCCUCUAAUAUAUUUUACAAGUUAGCAAAUGGAGUUAUAGAGGAGCACGUGUCCUAGAGUGGGGCAGCAUAUAUAAUCAUAUUUAAUGACUAAUGUUAGUCAUACAUUCAUUUGCAAUCUCAAUUAAAUUGAGAGAGCGAGAGAGCAGCACAUAGCCAUGGCACUCACGGCCAUGGAAGCUCACGGAUGAGCUCAAAAUUUGGAAGAGAAAUUAAAUUCAAGAAGGCGUUCUAUACGUUCAAGGAGGCGGUAACCUUGAGAUUUAAAUUGAGAAAGAAGCAGUGGUGCAAGGAAGUAAGGUGGAAGAAGAUUAUUUCUUGGCAUAUAAGACCCACGAGCUCGAGAAGUAGACGUUGGACAUUAGAUAGAGUUCAAGGUAGACAGGGAGGUGAGCUUAAUCCAGAUUCUUAGUAGUUGUCAGCUGAUGGAGAGCACUCCAUUGUUCGGGGGUGCUUAUGUUUAUUCUUUUGGUUCAUAUAUGUAUUUCGCGCACGACGGAGUUUGGUUCCGUUUAUAUGUAUAAUAUGCAGUAGAGGCUCGUAGACGCGCAGUGUGGGUUAGAUGGUCUCGCAAGAUUACUAUGUUAUAUUUGUAUAUGAUAUUUUGAUAGCCUAAGGGGCACAUGUAUAUAAAAUCAUUGGUGUUUUUUUUUAAAUGUAAAAUGGGUAUGACGAGUGAGGAAACGAGCGGUGCUCGGUGGUUAGCCCCGGGUACCCGUUGCGGCCCUAGUCGGGUC